CCCUUAGAUGUCCUGGGCCGCACGCGCGCUACACUGAUGCAUGCAACGAGUUUAUAACCUUGGCCUGAGAGGUCUGGGUAAUCUUUUGAACGUGCAUCGUGAUAGGGAUAGAUUAUUGCAAUUGUUAAUCUUGAACGAGGAAUUCCUAGUAAACGCAAGUCAUCAGCUUGCAUUGAUUACGUCCCUGCCCUUUGUACACACCGCCCGUCGCACCUACCGAUUGAAUGGUCCGGUGAAAUCUUCGGAUUGAGACUUUGAUUUGUUUACUCAAAACGCUGUUUCAAGAAGCUGAUUAAACCUUACCAUUUAGAGGAAGGUGAAGUCGUAACA
rnacentral:rRNA from 1 species